GUUAGAAUGAAAAAAGUAAACGAUUUCAGACGCAGAUAUUUCCGAAUCACUAAGCCAGGGCUUUGUCCUCUCAUCAAGGGCAAGGGCUCUGCCUACGGGCACACGAAGACAGCCAGACCUGGACCUGUCUAGCAAAGGGCUGAACCUCGUCUUCACUUUCUGGGGAGGAUCAGCAUGCGAGGCCAACAGAUGGGAAGAAAGAGGCUGUGACAGUUCUCCAGGAGAGCAACGAUGGAGACCUGAGCUGCUGUGGUGAUAGGAGGAUGGAGCCAUGUGCCUGAUUCAGGGGACAGUGACAAGGUGGAAGAUGGGUCCUGGUGACUGGCUGGUGCUGCUGGGUCACAAAUAAUAUCCAGACGUGAGCAUGCGACACAGCCGAGGAGAGUAAGGGGACAGCUUACACCUUGAAGAAGGGCUUCUCAAAAAGAUGUUCCUCCCUGACAGACACUUGAAGACAAACUGCCCCUUUUUGCUUUCACACAUGGCUUCUUGAGGAUGUGAUGUCUGGAGCUGUGGCAGCCACCUUGUGACAUGAAGCUCACAUGCUGAGAAUGGUGGAGGGAAAGGAGCUGCGCGAUGGCUUGGCUUAUCCAACUACCUUCAGAGCUUCACUCCAGAACUUCCUACCUCUGGGCUAGAAUAUUUCUAUUGUUUAAAGUCAUUUUUUCUGGAUAGUCUGUCACUCUCAGCCAAAGACUCCCAAUACAAGUAAUUUUGGAACUUCCUUAAAACUUCAUAUUUCUUCCUGAAGUAUUUAGAAUAUGAAUUUAAACGCCCAUUUUCCUGAAGUUACUGUGAUUGCAAAGAGUUGUUUGACACACCGUGUAACCAUUUCUCAUAACCUGUUUAUUGUUACUAGCUUUAAAAUUCAGAUUACAAUAAAAAUAGAGUAGCUUUACCUGAGGAGCUAUAUGCUAUGUGAUUAAAUUUCUGUACUGGAUGUACUGUUAAUGUAUCAUGUUUUCCUAUUUUAUAUUUUAUACAUUCAGCAUGCACAACUUUAUAUGGAAAUUGACUUUACUUGUAAAACCUCAUACCUGGUACUAGCAUAUCCAUGCAGAGUUAGAAGGCUCAGCUCCCUUCUCUCCUAAGUAGAAUGAUCUACCCCAGGCUGGCUGUGCCGCCCUGCAAAAGGAAGUUCCCAGCUCCUCUUGGCAAAGCCACCGGAGUCAUUCAAAUUCUUACUUUCUAUAGAGAAUAAUUUUUUUCUUGGAAGUUUCAAUUUGAAGGAUUCAAAAGGGCAGGGAAUCCUUUUCUUUUUUUUACUGAGCACCUUCUAUGUGCCGAACAUGUGUCAGGUGCCAGGGACAACAACAGUAGCGCGUGUGCACACAUGCACACACAUAGCCAAUCGCAGGGUCUCCGGGUCCAUGAUCCGAGACAGUCAUGUACCACAUCAUGCAGAAUGCUGGCAAAAUUCUGUGCUGGCUUCCAUGGGAGCCACUGCAAAAUCCGACGCGGUGGUCAGCAAAAUGCCCAGGUAUUCAUUCCACUUUCCUCCACCCUCAGUCCCACUGUGUCUUUAGGAUCCUCUCAUCCUUUCCUGACACCUGGCAAAGAAUUCACUUCAUUCACAGAGCUAAAGGCAGGUGGGGCUGGUGUAGGAAUCUGCUUAGCACAGGACUCAAGUCUAGGAUGAAGGAUGUGAGAAGAAGGCAGUGACAGCUCUGUGCUGUCAUUCAACGUAUCUGUUGAGCACUUUCUAUGGAUCCAGCCCAGGAGCCAGAAACAGGUAGUUGCCACUAUACCAGCAGAUAUUUACAGGGGGCCAGGAGAGAAAAGACUCAAAUGUCCGUCUCUACUGUUUACCACACGAGGAAAUUGAGGGCCAGGCAGGGCAGGUAUCAGAGCUCAGGGCCCCUGACUUGGGGCUUACGGCACUGGCCCAACAAGUCCAGCCAUCUCAGGAGGUAUCUCCACAUGCCCAUGUGCAGGCAGGAGCCUCUCUCCACGAGAAGAGGAGCCCCCCCCCCUCCAUGUCCUUCCUAAUCGUGACAUUGAUCUUAACCAAAGAGGAUCCCAUUCAAGGAGGUGGAGGAGGCCUAGGCUUCCAGUGUUUGCCAAGGCAUAGGUGGCCCUCCUCAUUAGGGACAAUGCGGCAAGGAGGUGGGAGAAAGGGGUUCUCAGGAAUCUGUUCUCAGAUCAGCCCCUUUCCAUUGCCCCAGAACACAAUGGGGAAAGCCGCCACCACCAUCACCACCCGGGCUGACACGCAGGGGGCCUGCAGGAAACAAAAUUCCUGGAGUCAGCAGCAUAACAGCAUUUGGUGUGCGCUCCACCCCCUCAGCUCUGCAAGGGCUCAGUUCCU